UACGUAGGGGGCAAGCGUUGUCCGGAUUUAUUGGGCGUAAAGAGCGUGUAGGCGGCCUGGUAGGUCAGCUGUGAAACUCGAGGCUCAACCUCGAGACGCCGGUUGAAACCAUCAGGCUAGAGUCCGGAAGAGGAGAGUGGAAUUCCCGGUGUAGCGGUGAAUGCGCAGAUAUCAGGAAGAACACCAAUGGCGAAAGCAGCUCUCUGGGACGGUACUGACGCUGAGACGCGAAAGCGUGGGAGCGAACAGG
rnacentral:rRNA from 1 species